AGUGAACGCUGGCGGUAGGCCUAACACAUGCAAGUCGAACGGCAGCACAGUAGGAGCUUGCUCUUACGGGUGGCGAGUGGCGGACGGGUGAGGAAUACAUCGGAAUCUACUUUUUCGUGGGGGAUAACGUAGGGAAACUUACGCUAAUACCGCAUACGACCUACGGGUGAAAGCAGGGGAUCUUCGGGCCUUGCGCGAUUGAAUGAGCCGAUGUCGGAUUAGCUAGUUGGCGGGGUAAAGGCCCACCAAGGCGACGAUCCGUAGCUGGUCUGAGAGGAUGAUCAGCCAAACUGGAACUGAGACACGGUCCAGACUCCUACGGGAGGCAGCAGUGGGGAAUAUUGGACAAUGGGCGCAAGCCUGAUCCAGCCAUACCGCGUGGGUGAAGAAGGCCUUCGGGUUGUAAAGCCCUUUUGUUGGGAAAGAAAAGCAGCAGGUUAAUACCCCGCUGUUCUGACGGUACCCAAAGAAUAAGCACCGGCUAACUUCGU
rnacentral:rRNA from 1 species